rnacentral:rRNA from 1 species
CAGCCGCCGCGGUAAUACGAAGGGUGCAAGCGUUAAUCGGAAUUACUGGGCGUAAAGCGCACGUAGGCGGACUUUUAAGUCAGGGGUGAAAUCCCGGGGCUCAACCCCGGAACUGCCUUUGAUACUGGGAGUCUUGAGUUCGAGAGAGGUGAGUGGAAUUGCGAGUGUAGAGGUGAAAUUCGUAGAUAUUCGCAGGAACACCAGUGGCGAAGGCGGCUCACUGGCUCGAUACUGACGCUGAGGUGCGAAAGCGUGGGGAGCAAACAGGAUUAGAGACCCCUGUAGUCCCUGUCUCUUAUAC